AGAGUUUGAUCCUGGCUCAGGAUGAACGCUAGCGGCAGGCCUAAUACAUGCAAGUCGAACGGUAAAUAAUAUAGCAAUAUGUUAUGAGAGUGACGUACGGGUGCGUAACACGUAUGCAACCUACCUUGUACAGGAGUAUAGCUCGGGGAAACUCGAAUUAACACUUCAUAGUAUUACUGGAUGGCAUCAUUUGGUAAUUAAAACUCAGGUGGUACAAGAUGGGCAUGCGUCUGAUUAGUUAGUUGGCGGUGUAACGGACCACCAAGACGAUGAUCAGUAGGGGAACUGAGAGGUUGAUCCCCCACACUGGCACUGAGAUACGGGCCAGACUCCUACGGGAGGCAGCAGUAGGGAAUAUUGGUCAAUGGAUGGAAGUCUGAACCAGCCAUGCCGCGUGCAGGAAGAAGGCCUUCUGGGUUGUAAACUGCUUUUGCCAGGGGAUAAAAAGACCGUGCGCGGUUAAUUGAAGGUACCUGGUGAAUAAGCCACGGCUAACUACGUGCCAGCAGCCGCGGUAAUACGUAGGUGGCAAGCGUUGUCCGGAUUUAUUGGGUUUAAAGGGUGCGUAGGCGGUCUGUUAAGUCAGUGGUGAAAUAUGGCAGCUUAACUGUCAGGGUGCCAUUGAUACUGAUGGACUUGAGUGAAGUCGAGGUUGGCGGAAUUGACGGUGUAGCGGUGAAAUGCUUAGAUAUCGUCAAGGAAUACCAGAGGCGAAGGCGGCUAUCUAGUUCAAAACUGACGCUGAGGGACGAAAGCAUGGGGAGCAAACAGGAUUAGAUACCCUGGUAGUCC
rnacentral:rRNA from 1 species